rnacentral:rRNA from 1 species
AACGGCUACCACAUCCAAGGAAGGCAGCAGGCGCGCAAAUUACCCACUCCCGGCACGGGGAGGUAGUGACGAAAAAUAACAAUACGGGACUCUUUUGAGACCCCGUAAUUGGAAUGAGUACACUCUAAAUCCUUUAACGAGGAUCUAUUGGAGGGCAAGUCUGGUGCCAGCAGCCGCGGUAAUUCCAGCUCCAAUAGCGUAUAUUAAAGUUGUUGCGGUUAAAAAGCUCGUAGUUGGAUCUCAGUUCCAGACGGGCGGUCCUCCUAACGGUGGUUACUGCCUGGCCUGAACAGCCAGCCGGUUUCCCUAGAUGAUCUUCACCGGUUGUCUUGGGUGACCGGCACGUUUACUUUGAAAAAAUUAGAGUGCUCAAAGCAGGCGUGUAGCCUGAAUAAUGGUGCAUGGAAUAAUGGAAUAGGACUUCGUUUCUAUUUUGUUGGUUUUCGGAACACGAGGUAAUGAUUAAGAGGGACAGACGGGGGCAUUCGUAUUGCGACGCUAGAGGUGAAAUUCUUGGACCGUCGCAAGACGAACUACUG